CCUACGGGCGGCUGCAGUGGGGAAUAUUGGACAAUGGGGGCAACCCUGAUCCAGCCAUGCCGCGUGUGUGAAGAAGGCCCUCGGGUUGUAAAGCACUUUCAGUGAGGAAGAACGCCUGGUGGUUAAUACCCAUCAGGAAAGACAUCACUCACAGAAGAAGCACCGGCUAACUCCGUGCCAGCAGCCGCGGUAAUACGGAGGGUGCGAGCGAUAAUCGGAAUUACUGGGCGUAAAGCGCGCGUAGGUGGCUUGAUAAGCCGGUUGUGAAAGCCCCGGGCUCAACCUGGGAACGGCAUCCGGAACUGUCAAGCUAGAGUGCAGGAGAGGAAGGUAGAAUUCCCGGUGUAGCGGUGAAAUGCGUAGAGAUCGGGAGGAAUACCAGUGGCGAAGGCGGCCUUCUGGACUGACACUGACACUGAGGUGCGAAAGCGUGGGUAGCAAACAGGAUUAGAUACCCUGGUAGUC
rnacentral:rRNA from 1 species